UUGAUAAUCUUUUCCUACUGGUUACUCGAUUCUGUCCUUUAUUGGAUUGAGUAGUAUCGCAAGGUAUCAUUUAAUAUUAUAUUGCUUUUUAUUAAAGUUAAUGGGUAAAACUGUUAAUAAUAAUAAAGGGAUCACAGUAUAGUGUUAAAUGGGGUUCCAGUUCAUUUACUUUGAGUAAAUUAGAGUGUUCAAAGCAGCCUCUUGGGGCAUUGAAUAUAUUAGCAUGGGAUAAUAGAAUAGGAUUCUUAUCUAUUACUAUUGGUUUAUAGAUUUAGAAUAAUGAUUAAUAGGGAUAGUUGGGGGCACUUGUAUUCAAUAGUCAGAGGUGAAAUUCUAGGAUUUAUUGAAGACAAACUUCAGCGAAAGCAUUUGCCAAGGAUGUUUUCAUUAAUCAAGAGCGAAAGUUAGGGGAUCGAAGACGAUUAGACACCGUCGUAGUCUUAACUAUAAACUAUGCCGACCAGGGAUAUGAGGAUUAUUUAUUUAUACUAUUAAAUUAGCAUAAUUCCUUGUGCACCUUGUGAGAAAUCAUAAGUUUUUGGGUUCUGGGGGGAGUAUGGUCGCAAGGCUGAAACUUAAAGGAAUUGACGGAGGGGCACCACCAGGAGUGGAGCCUGCGGCUUAAUUUGACCCAACACGGGAAAACUUACCAGGUCCAGACAUUUGAAGGAUUGACAGGUUGAUAGCCCUUUCUUGAUUAAAUGGGUGGUGGUGCAUGGCCGUUCUUAGUUGGUGGAGUGAUUUGUCUGGUUAAUUCCGAUAACGAACGAGACCUCUGCCAUUAAAUAGAGAUGAUUAUAAGUAAUUAUGGUUAGAAUAAACUCUUCUUAAUGGGACUUUUGGUUUUUAAUCCAAAGGAAGUUUGAGGCAAUAACAGGUCUGUGAUGCCCUUAGAUGUUCUGGGCCGCACGCGCGCUGCACUGAUAAGUUCAAAGAGUAUACUUAUGUAGUCCUUCCCUGAAAAGGGUGGGUAAUCUUUUAAAGCUUAUCGUGAUGGGGAUAGAUGAUUGCAAUUAUUCAUCUUGAACGAGGAAUUCCUAGUAAGCGCAAGUCAUCAGCUUGCGUUGAUUACGUCCCUGCCCCUUGUACACACCGCCGUCGCUACUACCGAUUGGAUGAUCCGGUGAAGUCUCUGGAUCGUGGUGAAAUACUUGGUAGCAAUAUCAAGUUUCACUGUGAGAAGUUGAAUAAACCUUAUCAUCU
rnacentral:rRNA from 1 species